rnacentral:sRNA from 1 species
GGAGCUAGAAGACAAGAAAAAGAUUCAGAAUCUCUUGGCUCUUGUGGGAACAGAUGCUGGAGAAGUGACCUAUUUUUGUAAGGAGCCUCCUCACAAAGUCACCAUUCUCCAAAAGACUAUCCAGGCUGUAGGUGAAUGUGAGCAGAGUGAAUCUUCAGCUUUCAAAGCAGAUCCUAAAAUAAGCAAAAGAAGACCAUCGAGAGAGAGAAAAGAAAGUUCUGAGCAUUACCAAAGAGACAUACAGACACUCAUCCUACAGGUGGAAGCACUGCAGGCUCAGCUGGGAGAGCAGACCAAACUUUCUCGAGAACAAAUUGAAGGGCUCGUCGAGGACAGACGGAUUCACCUUGAGGAAAUACAAGUUCAGCACCAGAGAAAUCAGAACAAAAUCAAAGAGCUAACCAAAAACGGGUCAUAGAACUAAAGGGAGCCUUGAAAAGACUGUCUUCCUCAGAAACCCCCGCCUCUAUGUAGGUGAGUAC